rnacentral:rRNA from 1 species
UUGAACGCUGGCGGCAGGCCUAACACAUGCAAGUCGAGCGGAUGAAGGGAGCUUGCUCCUGGCUUCAGCGGCGGACGGGUGAGUAAUGCCUAGGAAUCUGCCUGGUAGUGGGGGAUAACGUCCGGAAACGGGCGCUAAUACCGCAUACGUCCUGAGGGAGAAAGUGGGGGAUCUUCGGACCUCACGCUAUCAGAUGAGCCUAGGUCGGAUUAGCUAGUUGGUGGGGUAAAGGCCUACCAAGGCGACGAUCCGUAACUGGUCUGAGAGGAUGAUCAGUCACACUGGAACUGAGACACGGUCCAGACUCCUACGGGAGGCAGCAGUGGGGAAUAUUGGACAAUGGGCGAAAGCCUGAUCCAGCCAUGCCGCGUGUGUGAAGAAGGUCUUCGGAUUGUAAAGCACUUUAAGUUGGGAGGAAGGGCAGUAAGUUAAUACCUUGCUGUUUUGACGUUACCAACAGAAUAAGCACUGGCUAACUUCGUG